rnacentral:rRNA from 1 species
AUACGUAGGUGGCAAGGCGUUGUCCGGAUUUAUUGGGCGUAAAGCGAGUGCAGGCGGUUUUUUAAGUCUGAUGUGAAAGCCUUCGGCUUAACCGGAGAAAUGCAUUGGAAACUGGGGAACUUGAGUGCAGAAGAGGAGAGUGGAACUCCAUGUGUAGCGGUGAAAUGCGUAGAUAUAUGGAAGAACACCAGUGGCGAAGGCGGCUCUCUGGUCUGUAACUGACGCUGAGGCUCGAAAGCGUGGGCAGC